rnacentral:rRNA from 1 species
AUUUGCCUUUAGGUGGGGGACAACAGUUGGAAACGACUGCUAAUACCGCAUAAUAGCUACGGCUUAAAGGGGGCUUCGGCUCUCGCCUUUAGAGAAGCCCAAAUGGGAUUAGAUAGUUGGUGAGGUAAAGGCUCACCAAGUCAACGAUCCCUAGCUGGUCUGAGAGGAUGAUCAGCCACACUGGAACUGAGACACGGUCCAGACUCCUACGGGAGGCAGCAGUGGGGAAUAUUGCACAAUGGGCGCAAGCCUGAUGCAGCCAUGCCGCGUGUGUGAAGAAGGCCUUCGGGUUGUAAAGCACUUUCAGCGAGGAGGAAAGCUUGGUGGUUAAUACCCAUCAGGUGUGACGUUACUCGCAGAAGAAGGACCGGCUAACUCCGUGCCAGCAGCCGCGGUAAUACGGAGGGUCCGAGCGUUAAUCGGAAUUACUGGGCGUAAAGCGUACGCAGGCGGCCAUUUAAGUCAGAUGUGAAAGCCCCGGGCUCAACCUGGGAACUGCAUUUGAAACUGGAUGGCUAGAGUGCGACAGAGGGUGGUAGAAUUUCAGGUGUAGCGGUGAAAUGCGUAGAGAUCUGAAGGAAUACCAAUGGCGAAGGCAGCCACCUGGGUCGACACUGACGCUCAUGUACGAAAGCGUGGGUAGCAAACAG